AACAAUUGAAUGGGGAGCUGGCGCAUGCCGGCUGAGAAAGGGCGUAAUGCCGCCCUGACCCAGGAACCUGAUCCGGAUAAUGCCGGCGUAGGAACCCCUCAGAAGGACCCUUCC
rfam:Firmicutes bacterium CAG:114 genomic scaffold, scf194